UUUUUUAAGAAAAACAACUAAUUUCUCAUUCCAAUGCGAGUAGUUACUAGUAGUUAGGUAUCAAGCUCAAACCCCUUUAACCGAAUUUCAAAUCAGAAAGCGCUAUAAUUUUGAAAAGAAACUUAAUAAAUUUUUAGAGGAAUUUUAAUUAAAAAUUAGUGACAAGUUGAAUCAUUUUUGUUUUGAUCUUGAAUUCGGAAGACGUAAUCACUGUAUGUUCAGAGGAGUAUUCUAAUAUUCUUGUGUUCAGUUUCUUGUUUUUUCAGGGGAUGCUCUUCUGCAUGAUCCAAUGGUAGGAUCGGAUAGAUCAGCGUGUGUUCACUAUGACAAAUACGAAUGACUAAACAUAAGGAAAGCUUGGAGCGCUGAAAACGUCGAAGGUAAAGAAUUAGAGCUUCUCCUUCAAAAUAAAAAUUUAUCUUAUUUCCUUUUAAAUAAUGUACAUUUUAAAAAGCAAUAAUGAGUAUAGCACACUAACUAAUUUCCAGUCUUCAUGACGGCUUAAUUAAAUAAACCAAAAAGCACAAGUUUAUAAAUGCGAAACUUACUUCAUUAAUAGUUGGUCUUUAUCUUUGCUUGCUUAGAGGUAAUGGGAUUACAAAUUUUGUAAAAAAUAUUACUGAUUUUGAAAAAAAAAAAAUUUAAAUUGAAUGGAGAACAAUCAAUUUACUGAGAAUAACAAUUUUAUUACUUGAUUUCAGUUUUCGAGUUGUUUAUUACUUCAAUUGUUAGAACAAGUAUAUCACGGAGAAAGCUUAGGCUUUUUUUAAAUUAUCAGCAUUAUUACGAAUAACUCAAAUUGGUACGUGAAUUCCAAUAAGCGAUUUACACGAAGCAACUAAAUUCUCUAGGAACAUUAAGGCUAAUUCAAAGGGGAUUCUUUACUGCAAUUUUUGGUUUUUGAAUCGAGAGAACCACCAGUCUUUUCCAAAAUUUGGUAAAUGUCA